rnacentral:lncRNA from 1 species
UAGCUCAGCUCAGCUCAGCUCUCUAUAAAUAAACUUGAAGAAUAUGCAACAACAAUGACAACAAACAAUCUACAGGACAUUCUCUUUUAUCAGGUGAUUGCUGUUGACUUGAGCUUCAACUUCCUUCAAUGGCCGGCCUUCAAUACAACUUUUUCCCGACUGAUUUCUUCUACCCUCGUUCACCCACCCCUGUUACUACUGAAAAAGUGACACUACCGUCGCAACAGUUCUACUUUUUCCCUACUGAUUUCCUUUAUCCUCGCCCUCUACAGCCCGUGAAAGUUGACAGCAGAAGAAGGGCAGCACUGCAUAUCAAGAAGAGAGACGUACCUCACACCUGGGAAAUGGAAUCGCCAGCAAGCAGCAAGCCUGGUUUUCCCAUUAAUAAACCAGAAGGUGAGUACCAACGGAACGACAUGUGACGCAAAUAAUCCAUUUCUGUUGCUUGAUAAAUUCCAGCUUUUUUUUUUUGGUGCUCUCACAUGGAUCUCCUAAAUUUAUAUGUUCCUAGUUGUGCCAAAAACAUCAAUUGUCAAAUAACUAAGGCUUAUGCAACUUAUGCAGCUGAAGGGCUUCCUCUUUGCAGUCCUUAGUGUUCGGAAAAAAAAGUAUCAAUAUUCAGAAAUGAAAUUAGAAGACGUCCAUAAUCAUUCAUUCAGAAAAUUAAAAGAAAAUGUUUGAACACAGACAAACAAGAUUAACUUAGUACACUAUCUAAAUUGGGAGAUAUGUAAAGCAUUGAGUGGUACUUGAAAUUUGUAACAUUAUACAUAAAAUAAGUUCGACGUCCAUGGCAUACAACAAGUUAGAACUACAAAAACUACUACACAUCCAUUCCUAAGUAUUAACAUCUAAAAUUCAAUUGCCAUGAAGUUCGAUAAGCCCAAAAUUCUCUACAACAAAGGCCACCAACUAUAUCACUCGAUGUCAGAAGCAUCACAAAUGAGACAUCUUCAGCAGCAUGAUUUCUCUAAGAUUCUCCGCAAACCUAUUACAUAAAGGAAAAGAAGAUUUCUCACUUAUAUCAACAAUGAAAUCAAUAAACACUUGAAUGUUAUUUUACAGAAUCAGUUACCUCUUGGUACUCUUCAUGAUCAUUUUCUUCGUCAAAGAAUGUGGCAUAUCCAGAGAAAGACGUAGAUUCCAAAUCUAGUUAAAAUGAAAACAAAAAUCAAACAUAGGUUUUGUGAGUAAUGUUAAAUCUCUACUUAGCAUGUAAUUGAUUCACACCUCCAAGAUAACCACGCAGCCAACUUUGACUACACAUCAAAGCCUCCAAUGUAUUUGGAUCAAGUUUUCUGUGAUGUGGGCUUACAAAUCCACCACUAGUGCUAAAUGCUGAACCAGAACCAACUGUGGAGACUGGAAUUGCCAAGAUAUCUCUGGCAAUUUUAGACAAUGUAGGAUACCUACUCAUAUUUGCUUUCCACCAACCCAAAAUAUCAAAGUCCUCUGUUAAUGGCAGGACAUUCUCACCCAAAUAAGAAUCAAGCUCGGACCGAACUUGCUUAGCUUUUAUGAAAUCUUGAAAUCCCAACAUAAUAAAUUGGGUAUGUUUUUUAUAAGGACAGAACUCAGAAAGAGUGGCUGAAGAACUAUCCAGAUCAGAAUUAACAUUAGAUGAUUGACACUUUGAUUGAUACUCAUUCGCCAAAUCCUUAAAAAGGCUAUGUACUCUCUGAACAUGGAAAGAAAAAUCACCACCAAAAAGCAUAGGAAAAUAAUAUUCAAUCAACUUCAUCUUGUACCUUGGAUCCAAUACACAUGCCACAGCUAAUAUUCCAUGUAUAUCCUUCCAAUAUUUUUCGAAGUUUUCUAUCAUGCUUCUUGCCAAUUUUUUAAUCUCAUCAAAACUAGAUGAAAGCCAAUCAUCUAAUGACAAUCUAAUCUCAUAAACAUGUAGAAAAAACAAAUUGGAAGUUGGAUACUUGACAUUAGAAAACAAUUGAAUAACAUCGUAUAAACUUUUCAAUUUUUCUUCCAAGAUGUGUGCCAAUUCCCAAUCCUUCUCACUAGGCAAACAACCAUACUGUCCCUCGUGUUGCUCUAAUAGAGAGAACACACUUUUAUACUGCAAUGCAGUGGAAAUCAUGAGAUAUGUUGAAUUCCAACUCUCAGCACAAUCAAGCACUAAUUUCCUAUCACUUGUAAUGCCUAACAAAUGAGCGAUUUCUUCAAACUUUUCCAUUCUUUUAGAUGAUUCUGACCAAAAACUAACACUAUCACGAAUCUUAGCAAUUGCAUCACUAAUCACACUCAACCCAUCCUUCACAAUCAAAUUUAAAGUAUCGACAAAACAAUGAAUAUGAAAUAACUGCCCAUGCAUGAUUAAAUCAUCUUUCCCGAGCUUCAAUAAAAGAUAUUGAAUCAUUUGCUCAUUAUAACUACAAUUAUCAACAAUCAGGGCAGAUAACUUCCGAUCAAUGUUAUGAUCCAUCAAACAGUGCAGUAAUGUGUCACAAACUACUUCAGCUGUAUGUGGAGUAGACACAGGAAUAAACCUACAAAAGUAAAAGAUUAAAUACAAAUACAAAUAAGUUCAAAUCUAUUCAGAAUGAACAAAAAGUGAAAAUAUUACACGUUUAGUAACUGAACAAAAUUCAGUAUCUUACCUCAAAAGAUGACUCUGUAAUGUCCAAGAGUCAUCAAUGAAGUGUGCUGUAACUGCCAUAUAUCCUACGGAUUGGUUUUCUACAGUCCACAUUUUUGCCGUAAUGGCAAUCCUACUCUGAUUGCAGUCCAAUGCACUCACUUUCUUAGCCCUUUCAUACUCAUAUAUAUCCAUAAUUUCCUUUUUAAUUUCAUUUCGGGACACUGGUUUCCACAAAGGUUGAAGAGAGGAUAACACAUCAUUAAACCCUCCGUGCUCCACAACACUCAGAGGGUACUCAUGCAUGAUGAUCAUCCGUGCAAUCCUUUUCCUCGUAACAUUAGGAUCAAAACAGAAUGCAUCUGAUUUGGCCUUUCCUUGAUCAUGCUUAAUGGUUCUCAAAGGCGUCGCGUACUGUGUUAUAUCCUUCUGUCUUCGAUCAGUUAUCACCUUUUGCCUUCGCAAAAGACACGCCUUCAUAUGGUCACGCAAAUGUCUUGUUCCGUCAGUACUCCGUGCUACUAAACGGUUUUUGCAAUAAUUGCACACCGCCUUUUGCACCCCAUUAAUUUCUUUUCUCUCGAAAUGUUGCCAUACGAUGGAUUUCAAUCUCCCUGUGGGUUUAGACGACAUCUUUCCACAAUUGGCAUUAUCUACCGCACCUUGAUGAGAUGAAUCAUCAUCAUCAUCCACUACUAUUGGUUUGGGUGUGGGAGUUGACAUAUUUAAGCUACAACAACGAAAUUCAUUGCCUCAGUUCAAAAACUGUUAGUCAAAUAAUUAAUCAAUUUAUAAUUUAUAUAAAAUAAUGAACCGAAGUAUAAAAGUGGGUAAAAAGUAAUUUUUUUUUUUCAAAGAAAUGACAAAAAUUACCAAAUAGUAGAAACUGUCCAGGCUUUGAAGAAGAAGUGAGCGCGGCCGGAGACGGCGAUUACGGUGCCUGAGGUUUGUGGAUGUGGUCGCAUUCACGUGGGGUUUGAUUUUGAUUGAUAAUAACUACAAAUUUCUUUGAUGCUGUUUGUUUCCACAUUUUGGGGCUUAGCUUUUGCUGUUGGUUAUCAACUUGUCUUGGCCGUGUGAAGAUUUUCUGGUGAGCUCGUGGCCGGCGGCGAGGGGAUGUUGAUGCUCACUUCACUUCACUUUACUCCGCCGCGCCUUGGAGUUUGAGGAAUGGUGGGGACUUGACCGGAA